rnacentral:rRNA from 1 species
GAUGAACGCUGGCGGCGUGCCUAAUACAUGCAAGUCGAGCGAACAGACGAGGAGCUUGCUCCUUCGACGUUAGCGGCGGACGGGUGAGUAACACGUAGGUAACCUACCUAUAAGACUGGGAUAACUUCGGGAAACCGGAGCUAAUACCGGAUAAUAUUUCGAACCGCAUGGUUCGAUAGUGAAAGAUGGCUUUGCUAUCACUUAUAGAUGGACCUGCGCCGUAUUAGCUAGUUGGUAAGGUAACGGCUUACCAAGGCAACGAUACGUAGCCGACCUGAGGGGGUGAUCGGCCACACUGGAACUGAGACACGGUCCAGACUCCUACGGGAGGCAGCAGUAGGGAAUCUGCCGCAAUGGGCGAAAGCCUGACGGAGCAACGCCGCGUGAGUGAUGAAGGUCUUCGGAUCGUAAAACUCUGUUAUUAGGGAAGAACAAACGUGUAAGUAACUGUGCACGUCUUGACGGUACCUAAUCAGAAAGCCACGGCUAACUACGUG